GUGGAUUAGAUACCCUAGUAGUCCACGCCGUAAACGAUGAUAACUAGCUGUCCGGGCACUUGGUGCUUGGGUGGCGCAGCUAACGCAUUAAGUUAUCCGCCUGGGGAGUACGGUCGCAAGAUUAAAACUCAAAGGAAUUGACGGGGGCCUGCACAAGCGGUGGAGCAUGUGGUUUAAUUCGAAGCAACGCGCAGAACCUUACCAGCCUUUGACAUCCUAGGACGACUUCUGGAGACAGAUUUCUUCCCUUCGGGGACCUAGUGACAGGUGCUGCAUGGCCGUCGUCAGCU
rnacentral:rRNA from 1 species